GGAAUUGACGGGGGCCCGCACAAGCGGUGGAGCAUGUGGUUUAAUUCGAUGAUACGCGAGGAACCUUACCUGGGCUCAAAUGUAUGUUGACGUAUUCUGAAAGGGAUACUUCUUCGGACAAUAUACAAGGUGCUGCAUGGUUGUCGUCAGCUCGUGCCGUGAGGUGUCGGGUUAAGUCCCAUAACGAGCGCAACCCCUAUCAUUAGUUGCCAUCAGGUCAAGCUGGGGACUCUAAUGAAACUGCCUACGCAAGUAGUGAGGAAGGUGGGGAUGACGUCAAAUCAGCACGGCCCUUACGUCCAGGGCUACACACGUGCUACAGUGGCCGGUACAAAGGGCAGCUACCUGGUGACAGGAUGCUAAUCUCAAAAGCCGGUCUCAGUUCGGAUCGGAGUCUGCAACCCGACUCCGUGAAGCUGGAGUCGCUAGUAAUCGCGCAUCAGCCAUGGCGCGGUGAAUACGUUCCCGGGCCUU
rnacentral:rRNA from 1 species